GAUUUUGGAUGAACCAUUAGCUUUGUUUCUCUCCUGACAUUAAUAUAUUAAUUCAGAUAUUAAUGCUUCUUUUCCUCUCUAUAUGGAUUCUGAAGUUUGGCUAUUAUGUUACAUGC